CUCAGCAAGAGCAAACUGAAUUCAUCAGCUCGCUUCUUCACCUACUCAGCUGUCACUCCUGAUAGAUAAAGCCCAAUGUAGGAAAGCCGGUGGUCGUUCACAGACCAGGCCCACCGCGUCCUCCUCUCCCCAAACACCCACACGCUCAUCCAAUGAUCCAAGAAGCUCGCUACCAUCUAUCCUUAGGCUGCAUCCACGGUGAUGUCUUAAAAACUAUUUUGAAAUAAUGAUAGAGUCAACGCAAUCGUGAGAAAUAAGAGACCCAAGACCUAGCUUUCCCCCAAAGGUGACAUUUUGCGUGUUGCAGUACAGUAUCACCACCAGGAAAGUGACACCGAUGCAACCCACUGACCUUAUUCAGAUUUCACCAGUGUUACAUACACUGAUUUUUGCAUGUUUCUCUUUCGUUCUGAUUUUCUCACACACGUAGGGUUGUGUGACCACCGUCCCCGUAAACAUAUAUAGAUUCUCACCACGAAGAUCCCCUUUUAAAGUCAUAACUGCUGCCCUCCCUCCUCCCUUCCCUGUCCCUUGUCAACCACUCAUCUGUUCUCCUUUAUAGUCUAUCAAUUCAAAAAUAUUUAUAUAGAAGGAAUCGUGCAAUGUAAACUUUGAGACUGUCUUAUUUUACUCAGUAGGAUUACGUGAGGUCUAUCCACAUUAUCGAGAGUCCAUUGCUUUUUAUUGGUGACUUAAUACCACACUUUGAUGAAGCAGUCACCUGCUGAAGGACAUCUGGAGAGAUCCCAGUUUGGGCCUUUUAUGAAUAAAGCUGCUGUGAACAUUCUCGUUACAGGAAACAAAGCUCAAGAAGGUGAAAUGAUGUUCCAAGAUCACUUCGUAUACCUGAGUGGCAAAAGCUAACUCAUUUCCAGGCCUUCUAACCCUAAAUCGCAUAUCCUUUUAGGUCUGUAAACACGCCAGCAUCUGCAAUAGCAGAGUCUUUGUCAGUUUGCUGUUUUCAUGCUGGUGAUGAAUCUGCAGGCAGGUGCAUACUAUGUUAUUCAGCCUCCGUGGCACAUCUCUGAGAGGUCUUUGGCCAGGGCAGGAGAAUCCGUCUGUGGUCAUGGAAAACGGGAGUACUGCAUCUGCUCAUUCCAUAUUUUAACCAAUUACGCUAACUGCCCAGAGUGAUAGAUACAUUUUAACGUCUCACUCAAUGGCAUAUUUCACAUAAGACAGUUUUAGUAUUUCUGACUACGUUCUUAGAACCUCUUCCAAGACAAGCCUUUCUAAGAGUCUGUAUUAGCUUAUUUUAUUUUAUUUUUACCUUUUUUUUAACUUAGGUAUAAUUGACACAUGACACUGUAUUUGUUUAGGUGUACAGAAUAAUGGUUUGACGUAUGUAUAUAUUGCUAAAGGAAUAAAUUUAGUUAAAACCCAUCCCCACACAUAAUUACACAUUUUUUCUUGUGAUGAGAAUUUUGAGAUCUACUUUCUUAAUAGCACUGUAUUAUAUAUUUGAAAGUUGCUGACUGUAGACAGCCUACUUUGUAUUCCAUCCCCAUAAUUUGUAUACCUCAUAACUGGAAGUUUAUAUCCUUUGAACAUUUUCAUCUAUUUCCUAAUAACCCUGUAUGAGG